CCCUUAGAUGUUCUGGGCCGCACGCGUGCUACACUGAGUGGAUCAGCGGGUCAGGUUGCGCGAAAGCGUUUCCUAAUCUUUAAAUCCGCUCGUGAUGGGGAUUGACGGUUGCAAUUUUCUGUCAUGAACGAGGAAUACCUUGUAAGCGCGGGUCAUCAUCCCGCGCUGAAUACGUCCCUGCCCUUUGUACACACCGCCCGUCGCUCCUACCGAUUGAGUGGUCCGGUGAGGCUUUGGGAUCUGAGCGGAAAGAGCGUUUCGCUGUUUCUGCUCGGAAAACUCAGUCGAACCUUAUCAUUUAGAGGAAGGAAAAGUCGUAACA
rnacentral:rRNA from 1 species